CUUGGAUUAUGAUUGUUGCCGGCGCAAGUCGACUCAAUUGAAAUACACGAGCUACCCAUUUGAAAUAAACGGUUUGACUCGGCGUGAUAAUUAUUUCGCUGAGGACGUUUUCUUCAAAAAUAAGAGGUGCUUCUAAUGCGCUUUUAUAGCAAUUUUAAAUUUUAGACCUCAAAUCAGUCAGGACUACCCGCUGAACUUAA
rnacentral:misc_RNA from 1 species